UGGCGGUGUUUUAGACCUAUUAGGGGAACCUGUUUCAUAAUCGACAAUCCGCGUUAAACCUAACCCUAUUUUGUACUCAGUUUGUAUACCGUCGUCGUCAGGUAACUUUUAAAAAACUAGAAGUUAGCAACAAGAAUUUUGUAAAUUAAAACGUCAGAUCAAGGUGCAGCUAAUAAAAGGGAGAGAAUGGGUUACAAUUAUUUUAUUCAUAAUUACGGAAAGCUACAUGAAGUAUAGCUGGAAGGAGGACUUAAAAGUAAAAUAGAGUAUAUAAACAAUUUGAAUAUGGCUCUGAAACGUGC
rnacentral:rRNA from 1 species